UGUGAAUUGCAGGACACAUGAACACCGAUAAGUUGAACGCAUAUGGCGCAUCGGACGUUUCAACCCGACCGAUGCACACAUCCUUGAGU
rnacentral:rRNA from 1 species